AUUGAACGCUGGCGGCAUGCUUUACACAUGCAAGUCGAACGCGAGUGGAGGGCAACUUUCACUUGAGUGGCGAACGGGUGAGUAAUGCAUCGGAACGUACCCUGUAGUGGGGGAGUAACGCCGGGAAACCGGACGCUAAUACCGCAUAUUUCUCUAUGGAGGAAAGUGGGGAGUCCGCAAGGACCUCACGCUAUGGAGCGGCCGAUGUCCGAUUAGCUAGUUGGUGGGGUAAUGGCCACCAAGGCUGCGAUCGGUAGCUGGUCUGAGAGGAUGAUCAGCCANACUGGGACUGAGACACGGCCCAGACUCCUACGGGA
rnacentral:rRNA from 1 species